CCAAUAGCGUAUAUUAAAGUUGUUGCAGUUAAAAAGCUCGUAGUUGAAUUUCGGGGUUAGUAAGUUGGUCAUGCCUUCGGUAUGUACUGGCUUCACUGAUUCCUCCUUCUUGACGAUCUGUAAUGUCAUUAAUUUGGUGUUGCAGGGAAUCAGGACUGUUACUUUGAAAAAAUUAGAGUGUUUAAAGCAGGCUAACGCUUGAAUACAUUA
rnacentral:rRNA from 1 species